rnacentral:rRNA from 1 species
GAGUUUGAUCGUGGCUCAGGACGAACGCUGGCGGCGUGCUUAACACAUGCAAGUCGAACGAGAAUCUACUGAAAGAGUUUUUCGGACAAUGGAAGUAGAGGAAAGUGGCGGACGGGUGAGUAACGCGUGAGGAACCUGCCUUGAAGAGGGGACGAACAAGUUGGAGACGACUGCUAAUAACCGCAUGAUGCAUAAAGGGUCGGCAUGAUUCUUAUGCCAAAGAUUUAUCGCUUCAAGAUGGCCUCGCGUCUGAUU